AGAGUUUGAUCCUGGCUCAGAUUGAACGCUGGCGGAAUGCCUAACACAUGCAAGUCGGGCGGGGUAGCAAUAUCCAGCGGCGGACGGGUGAGGAAUACAUAGGAAUCUGCCUUUAGGUGGGGGAUAGCUUGGGGAAACUCAAGGUAAUACCGCAUGAUCUCGCAAGAGCAAAGUGGGGGACCGCAAGGCCUCACGCCUUUAGAGGAGCCUAUGUCUGAUUAGCUAGUUGGUGAGGUAAUGGCUCACCAAGGCGACGAUCAGUAACUGGUCUGAGAGGGUGAUCGGCCACACUGGAACUGAGACACGGUCCAGACUCCUACGGGAGGCAGCAGUGGGGAAUUUUGCGCAAUGGGCGAAAGCCUGACGCAGCAACGCCGCGUGGGUGAUGAAGGUCUUCGGAUCGUAAAACCCUGUCGUCAGGGACGAAGGUUUGGGGGUUAAUAACCCUUAAGCUUGACGGUACCUGGAGAGGAAGCCCCGGCUAACUCUGUGCCAGCAGCCGCGGUAAUACAGAGGGGGCAAGCGUUAUUCGGAAUUAUUGGGCGUAAAGGGCGCGUAGGCGGUUUUUUAAGUCAGAUGUGUAAUCCCCGAGCUCAACUUGGGAACUGCAUCUGAGACUGGAAGGCUAGAGUACUGGAGAGGGUGGUGGAAUUCCUCGUGUAGCGGUGAAAUGCGUAGAGAUGAGGAGGAACACCAGUGGCGAAGGCGGCCACCUGGACAGUAACUGACGCUGAGGCGCGAAAGUGUGGGUAGCAAACAGGAUUAGAUACCCUGGUAGUCC
rnacentral:rRNA from 1 species